GAUGAACGCUGGCGGCGUGCCUAAGACAUGCAAGUCGAGUGGGUUUAGACCCACGGCGAACGGGUGAGUAAUACCUAGGAACUUUCUUUAAGUGGAGCAUAACCAGCCGAAAGGUUGGACAAUUCUCCAUGUGACCGUAAGGUCAAAGGACGCAAGUCGCUUAAAGUGAGGCCUGGGCACCAUCAGCUAGUUGGUAGGGUAAAAGCCUACCAAGGCUAUGACGGUUAGGGGCCCCCGAGAGGGGAGACCCCCACACUGGAACUGCGACACGGUCCAGACUCCUACGGGAGGCAGCAGUUUGGAAUUUUGGACAAUGGGCGAAAGCCUGAUCCAGCGACGCCGCGUGGACGAUGAAGGCCU
rnacentral:rRNA from 1 species